UUGCGACGAUGAAACUUCAGUUUAUUGAGGACAUUCAUUGAGUGUUUGAUGAUACUUUGGCAUUCAUGUCGAACCUGAGCGGUUAACUGACCAA